AUAAAAAUAAUGCAUUGUAUGCCGGAAGGGAUAAAUCUGGGGCUGAGUACAAGCAAAACAAGACCAAAGGAAGCUACCUGAGCAGGUAUUCCAGAUACUCAUGUCAUACACCAAGGUUGUACCAGUGCCCCUUUCUCUGUGACACAUCCAUCCACUGGAAACUUUCGUACAACUAGCUGAAAGAAGAGAAACAUCCUAUUUCAUGUCACUGGAGCCCUAAUGAUCGCAGCCAUUUCAGGAAAUGCCAUCAAUUACAGUGAGGAGCUCAUUCAGAAGUGAAAGAUGAGUUCCAUUCUCUGUUACUUAGAGGUAUUACAAAGCUCAAAUCUGAGAAAACCUUGUCUACCAUCAACCCUGACCUACAGAGGAGAGGCACCCCCAAGCUUAUUAGUGAUCCUGUCUCCGUCUUAUUGGCACAUCCUGAUGGCCUUGAUCUCUAGUUCUUCCUGUGGAGCAUAACCAUAUGGUUCUUUGCCAAGAUGUUAAGACCAAAGUCGGAGAGUGAACCCCAUGUCAAUGAAUUCUUGUUUUUCUGAUCUUACAUUCCAUCACUUUGAUCCAGUACUCUCAAAAUGCAAUCACAGUUGUACAUGUCUUCUCCUGUCAAUAAACGCUACCUUAGUACUGCA
rnacentral:lncRNA from 1 species